GCUGGGUAUUACUGAUAUUUUAAUGGGUAUGUGUGGAGAAACGAGAUCCUGGGGUCCGUGUGUCAAAGCCACAAAGUGAAUGACCGGUAGAGCCAGCACUCAGUCUUCCGAUUCCCAGGCUGCUUCUCCACCAACAUUCACGGUGGCAGCUGACGUUCGUUGAGAGCUUAUUCUUCCAUUCACCAUUCUGCAUGUUUUGCUUGCUGUGGCUUGAUUAGUUUUCAGAAUAAGUUUUUUUUUUUUUUGUACCAGGGAUCGAACUCUGGACCUUAUAUUUCCAAAGCAGGCAGUAGAACCACUGAGCUAAAUCCCCAGCCCCAGAAUAAGCCUUUAGGGAGACACUGGAAUUUCCUUUCUGCACACAACCUGAAGGACUUGUUCAAAUACAGAAGCUAAAACAUGGAAGAGGUUGGAUUUGAAUCCAGGACUGACUUCCCAUCUCCCACACCCUCUCUGGGCUGUGCAAGCCCACACAGCACAAUGGACCUGGAGCCAUGCAUGCACUGGGGAGAAAGCUGAAGCUGCGGCAGACACAGCAUUUUCCCCAGGCCGCGAGUCUCUGGGAUAUGUGAGCUUGGCUCCCCGGGGUCGGAUGGAAGUGACGAUAUUUAAAUGCUUAUGUUUGAAAGUCUUCCUGGUAACGUAAAGGCCACAGUGUGGUCCAUAUAUGCAGCCCUGCAUCUUGCUGGCUGGAGAACUAGCUAGCUUUCAGAAUUGAAGGGCGAUCAUUCUGGAACUUUUGCCGACUGAAAUCCUUGCAUCUUCUCUUCAACUGUGAAUGGGAGAGAUGGGAAAUACCUUGAAGCAGCCAGCAGCUACUGGAUCCUUCUCUGGGUGAAAGAUCGCAGGGAGUUCUUUUAGUAAUUAAAAACAGGACACACGGAUCCUCCUGGGCUUUCAGCAUUACUGAACAGAGAAAAACUUCAUUCACUACCAGAGCUGUGUAAGAGCUAAGUGCCUGGGACACCAAGAAAUGGUAGCAGCGUUCACAAGAGACGGAGUGAGAGGGUCUGUGCUCAAGGAGCCUGGAGGGAAGGGGCUUGUCCAGCCCCGGUGGGCAGUGUCACGGGGUGCACACCCACCAUCCACUCAAUUUUGCAGGAGGUGGGUGGGCUCCUUGCUCCUUGGGCUGAUUGUUAGGAGAGAGCUCACACGAUGGCUCGCUCAUUUCCAGAGAUCUCUCUCUCUGAAAAGAGGCCCGGAUACUGAGUAGCUGGAUCUGAAGAGAGUGGCGCCCAGGGAAGUGGAUUUAUUUCUGAGGGAUCCUGAGCGGGAGGAAGAAGAAACAUUCCCCACUUGACAAUAGUAAAGGAAGAGUUGGGAGUCUCAGAAUAGCUCUUUGCAUUUGCAAUAUGGAAACGUGGAGAGUGAAGAGAGAAGCCAGGCCUCGCUGCCCACUAGCGUCACCUGAGGGGCUUUCAACCUCGCCAGCCCAGGGCUGACCUAGGCCACAGUGGGCCGGGAAGCCCAGGCAUUCGGGAGACGCCAAUAGGGAAGCGCGCAGCGGUGACCAGGCUCUGAGCCUCUAGCACGCACCGGAAUUAGCACAACCAAGGCCCGCCCCCGGCCUGGAAACCCACCCGGAUUUGCAGCCUAGCGGCAGAUAGAGGCGGGACUUCUUAGGGAACUGCGGCGGCAGGUUCCCUAAAGAACGUAUGGGGAGUUCCCAAAGCAGUGCUCUGCAGCCCACGGGCAGCCUUUCCCUCUGACCGGGUGCGUGGCCCGGACAGCGCAGGGAGCCGGAGGACUCUGCGUUAUUCUCCACACCCUCUCUUCCACAGUCAGAGGAGGAACAGAGAUGGGUUGAACUGGAUGGAGAGAGAUGCCAGUUAUGGGUGAACUUCUUUGAGAAAGUUCCAGAAAACGUGCUCAAGGCCAUGAGCGAUGCCCUGAAGGCCCCUGAGGACUGAGCAGCUGUAUUUUACAGUUGAUAAAAUGAGUUCACCUGGUCCUUGCCACAGUCCUGCUGGAGGUGAAGAGCAGAAGCCAUGGUGGUUCGGUCCGUCCCAAUUUGAGCCCCUCGCACAUGGCGUUGUUUUCCUCCCUGAACAGGAAGUCCCCAGAUCCUGGAUCUACCAGACCGACCUCUUCUCUGAAGACUUCCAGCUGUAGAGGGUGCUGACCCCAGUGCCAGGGGUUCUCCAGUUGUGUGGUCUGAGGACUGCUUUACAGUUCAGACUUUAUUAAGAAACCCAAAGAGCUUUUGUUUAUGUGGGUUACAGCAUGCCUUCUGAACUUGACUCUAAAACUGAGAACUUUAAAAACUAUUCAUUAAUUUAAAGAUAAUAAUAGGCCCAUUGUAUAUUAACUUAUUCACAUAUUUUAUACAAAUAGCUGUAUUUUC